GUGGGGAAUCUUGCGCAAUGGGUGAAAGCCUGACGCAGCCAUGCCGCGUGAAUGAUGAAGGUCUUAGGAUUGUAAAAUUCUUUCACCGGGGACGAUAAUGACGGUACCCGGAGAAGAAGCCCCGGCUAACUUCGUGCCAGCAGCCGCGGUAAUACGAAGGGGGCUAGCGUUGCUCGGAAUUACUGGGCGUAAAGGGCGCGUAGGCGGACAGUUUAGUCAGAGGUGAAAGCCCAGGGCUCAACCUUGGCAUUGCCUUUGAUACUGGUUGUCUUGAGUACGGGAGAGGUGAGUGGAACUCCGAGUGUAGAGGUGAAAUUCGUAGAUAUUCGGAAGAACACCAGUGGCGAAGGCGACUCACUGGCCCGUUACUGACGCUGAGGCGCGAAAGCGUGGGGAGCAAACAGGAUUAGAUACCCCGGUAGUCC
rnacentral:rRNA from 1 species